rnacentral:tRNA from 1 species
AGAAACUUAGGUUAGACAAAACCAAGAGCCUUCAAAGCCCUAAACAGAGGAAUAACACCCCCUAGUUUCUG